UACGGAGGGUGCAAGCGUUAUCCGGAUUUACUGGGUUUAAAGGGUGCGUAGGUGGGUAGGCAAGUCAGUGGUGAAAUCUUCGGGCUUAACCCGGAAACUGCCAUUGAUACUAUUUAUCUUGAAUACUCUGGAGGUAAGCGGAAUAUGUCAUGUAGCGGUGAAAUGCUUAGAUAUGACAUAGAACACCAAUUGCGAAGGCAGCUUACUACAUAGUUAUUGACACUGAGGCACGAAAGCGUGGGGAUCAAACAGG
rnacentral:rRNA from 1 species